ensembl:lncRNA
ACAGGAUCGGUGAGGUUACAAGAUCAGAUCAGAGAGUAGAUUGCUACCACAUUCUCCGGUCGAAGCGCGCGAAGCGUCAGUGGUCCACGCGCCGCCUUCAGUCUCCUCGCAGUAUAGAAAGGAGACACUUGGGGCAGGUUGGUCAGCGCACUUACGGCGGCUGAGAAUCCACGCGGGUGUCCGGUUCUUCGUGGCUAUCUCUCGAGCUAAAGAAGACUGGAGCAGAGUUAUUCUGCAGCUACAGUAGAGCAGUCGACUGUUACCAUACUGGGCUUUCCAGAGAAGUGAAGCAUGACAGCAUUCUCCGCAGGGUGAAACGGCGAUUGGCAACAUUAUGUUAUUAGGGACAGUUACAGAGUAAAUGUGCCAGCCCGUUUUGGGACACUGAAGAGCCUUAGAGCCGGAUGCUGACGGGCUGAGUGCAUCAGUGAAUAGACUAUCUGUGUGGACUCUGUCAUGCUAAGCGGGAUUACUACAGCAGGAAUUCAGCUCUUGUCUCUGUGGAACCAGAGAUGCUGCUCUGAUGGUGCAGUGUGGCAAUCAACUGGAGGCUGGUUCACUAAGAGAUUCCAGGCUUACAUUUCAUGUACAUAAAAGGAGGACUUAAAUAGGCGAGUUGUAUGUAUUCUUACUCUUUUAUUAAGGCCUGAGCCUUUGUCGCAUGAAGGGCUUACUCAAGACUUAAGAUUUGAGUCUUCAUCCCUUUAAAAAUGUUUUAUUGAUGGUGUGUGAAGCUGGACAAAGCUGCAUCACUAGAUGCAGGGUUUUAAAUUGAACACCUUUUCAUGUAAUGGGGCUUUUCAUAAAGGUAACAAUUUUAUUCCACUCUGCAGUUACUGACACACAUGGUAUUUUCCUUUGAAAGGUUGUGCUUUUGAAUAAACCUUUCAAUUCAAG